AUCAGCAGCCAUGUCACCCUGCAACUCAUAUCUGGCAACCCAGCGAAGCUCAGCAGGUGUGAGCCUGGUCAGUACCUGGAUGGGAGGCCUCCUGGGAAAAAACUAAGGUUGUUGCUGGAA
rnacentral:rRNA from 1 species